rnacentral:lncRNA from 1 species
AUUAUUUAAGUACAUCUGAGUGGCAGAAAUUGACCAGUGGAGUUAUUAGAGUAAAAAUAAAACUGUAUUGAGAGUCACUGGGAUGUGCGGUGGACUGUAAACAUGGUGGUAAAAACCUAUAAUUAACUGUCAUCAACUUUAGGCUUUACUGACUUAAAAUUUUUGUCAGAAUUUUUCCCCUGUCGUUUCACAAGCAGUCAGUAAACAUUCUCGGGGUUCAUUUUAGAUCAAAGGCCAUGAAAAAAAUGAACUAGCCACAGCCUUCCUGUGCUUAACUACAUCUUCAAAAUUGGGCGCUCUAAGAAGACUGUGUUGUAAUGUUCAGAAACAAGGCUUGCCUUUGCAAUUAAUGAGUGUGUUUUCCCCCCCUCAGGUGGAAGGGAAGAUUUUGGAAAAGUGAAACACUGAAGAGGCAUGAUGUUGCUCCUGUAACUUGGAACUGGAGAGGAGGCAAGAUGCUGGCAUAGCUGUUGAACUGAGAACCUGCUAUGCCAACAUAUUGCCAUCUCUCUUGUCUGACAGCAGCCAUGGCCACCUGCAUGCCACUCCUCCAUGUAUUGCUACGGAUGUGUGCCCUUCCUUGGAUGUGGGUUUCCAUGACAUGGCCCUGCUCACCUCCCUGACCUCUCUCUUCCCAUGCUCUGAGUCACUCCAUUUUAACCACACUGGCCUUGCUGUCUGUUCCUUCAACACACCCUGGAUAUUCCUGCCUCGUAGCUUGUCUGCCUCUUGCUCAUCAUUUGGGUCUCAGUGAGGACAGCUCCCCAGAGAAGCCUUCCUUGACCACACUAUCUGAAGUAGCUCCCUGUACCCUGCUUUAUUUUUUCAAAACAUUGGUCACCACGUGAAAGACAUCUGUUGACUUGUUUAGUGCCUUUGUGUUCCACAUUAGAAUGUAAGCUCCUUUGGGGUUAGGGACCUUGUUUAUCUUGUUCAACCUCUGUAUCCCCAGAGCCUGACACAUAGUAGGGCCUCAGUACAUAUUUUUGAAACUCCACCCUGACUUUUAUCAUCCAAGAGAGAUGUCAAAUAAUUAUAUUUUCCCCAUUACAAAUGGUUUUGGUUAAACCCUGACUCACAAGUAACAAUAAGGAAAUAAACAGCUGUGCUGGGCCUGCACACAUGGCUCCUUAAAGCAGUCACAAUGUAUACGUCAUUGAGUCCACAGAUUCACGGAAGGCCUAUCAUAGUGGGCAAAGCAUGGGCUUCAAAAUAAAACCUAUGUUCAGAUCUCACCACUGGUGUUCACCUGUCUGCGUGUUCUUGGACAAAAUCAUUUACCCUUUGAGCCAUGAUUUUUCUCAAUUGCAAAAUGAGGAUAGUAAUACUAACCCCCAGGAUUCUUGAGAUUAAAAAAACGAUAUUUUUUAGCCAGAUGAUUCUUACUUCAUAUCUAAAAAGUUAGUGUCUGUAAAAUUCCUGAUGUAUAUGUAGGAGGAGACACUCAACACAUUUUAAUUAUUUUACUACUAAGGAAAAAAAGUUAAUUUUUCUUUAGUUUUAGAAACAGGUAAUCUGACAUGGAAUGUGUGGAAGUAUACACCACGUGCGGAAUUCCGUGUGAGGACAGAGAUCUUGAGAGGCCAAGGAGUUAACUGUUGAGCAUCUCAAAUUCUCCUGUCUGAGUUCCACUGACCCUCAUCUCCAUCCGUUGACAGAGAUAUCCACUGCACCUUAAACCUCAAUACGGUUGAUGAGCUGGACCCAUAAUGGACAUGAACACUGAGCUCACUUGGAUCAGUCCUCCACAUCUUAAUGUGUUUCACUGUAAUUUGCUAAAAACCUGAACCUUCUUUUUUGAUUCCAAGUGAUCAAGGGCGGAAAAGCAAAAGUUGGGACUUAGGAACAUCAAAAUGAGAGACUAAGGAAUUAAUAUUCUAAAGUAUCCAAUAUUUUCUCUAAGUCAGUUGUUUUCAGACUUUAGUGUUGCGUUAUCAGUCACCUGGAGAACUUGUUAAAAAAUGCAGAUCCCAAACCAUCCCCUAGACAUUCUGAUUUAAUCGGUCUUGACUAAGACUCAAGAAUCUUCACUUUUAACAAGCACCUUAUUUUGAUGCUGUUUGACAGUAAACUACACUUUCAGAAUAUUCAUCUUAGGUCCUAAGUCAGAGGGCAGGUUUUUAAAAAUCUUACACAAUUCCCAAUAUGGAACUUGGGCAUGGUCUUGAAAGCAGCCUGCUUUCCCACUGCAUCUGUGCUUAUGGAAAACUGGAACAGUGUUUUGUAAUUGUGCUUUAUACUCUGAGGUUUCUUAUAUAAACAGCCCAUAUAACUACACACAGGAGCACUAUGGGCUGCCAAUGUGCUUCUGCAGAGUUGUUUUUAACUUCAAUCAUCUUUUCUCCACUGGUUCACAUUACAAGUUCCAAGAUGUUUUAUUUUCCUUUCUGAUUGAUUUGAUAUUGACCCAAAUCCUUUACUUCUAAAUAUACAUUCUUCUCUAAGAUGCCUGACAAAUUGUAAAUGAUAUAUGAGCUCCUUGAGGCUAGAGACUGGGUCUAAUUAUGCAGAAGGGGAAUUUUCAACAUUUAUGAGACUCCUACGGUGGUAAAUCUUUCUGUAAACUAAAAGAUCACAUCUUAAUUGAUCUAUUUCUUAAGUUUAGAUUUUUGUGGAUUUUUCUUUAAUUGGGACAUCUUUUCCUUUGUGAGUUAGUAUGGUGUAGUAGGAAGAGUUCCAGAAUGAAAUGCAAAAAGAUCUAGGCUAGUGCCAGUCCUGUCAUUUUCUGACUCUGUGCACGACUUUGGAAAGAUCAUUUAAUCUGUUACCUUGUUUGUAAAUUGGGGAUAAUAGUAGGAGAGACUAUGAUAUUUUAGAAAGAAAAGUGGGCAAAGCAAAAUACAGCCAUGAAAACCCAGCAUGUAGGCCAACUGGAAGGUAAUCUACAAAAUGAAAAUCAUUGCUGAUUUUUAGUAGUAAUUUAAAAUUUAUUUCAAUGUUUUAUUGCUUUGUGUUGUUAUCGUCUAAUAUAAAUAUGAGAAAGAAAUAAUAAGUUCUGGAUAAAAGGCAGAACUUUGUUCUCAACCAGCCUGAACCACUUAUUUGUUAACCAAUUGCAGUCAAAAGAGAAGAAAUGUGAUAUUUUAGUUAAUUUUAUCUUGAGGAAAGGUGCAGCUUCUGUUCUGCUGUUUAAAAGGCUAGUAAUGGCUUAUAGGUCUUCAAAUGUUAAUAACGAUUCUGUGACUCAUUUACCUGCUUUCCAUCUUAUUGGCUUAUUAUGAGAUUCAAAUUAGAUAAGGUAUAUGAAACUGCUUCGAAAAUGGUAAGAAGUUAUACAAAGUCCUAAGAUAAUGUUUAUAAAGUCCUUCCAAACCUCCGUCUCUCCCUUACCCCUACAAAAGUUUGCUUUUGGAGUGAUUGAAAUUUUAAUAAAAUUGAACUAUUUUAUCCUAAACCUGGCUGUAAAGUUUUAAUUCCUAGGGUUCUAAUUAUUUACCAUUCUUUUUGUAGCAACUAGACGGACAGGAGAUUGUCUGUUGGGCCCGUCUUCUUUCAGCUGUUCUCAUCUAGGAAUGCAGGUGCAAAAAAAGUGGAAAGUCUGG